CGAAUGCUGACAUAAGUAACGAUAAAGCGGGUGAAAAGCCCGCUCGCCGGAAGACCAAGGGUUCCUGUCCAACGUUAAUCGGGGCAGGGUGAGUCGACCCCUAAGGCGAGGCCGAAAGGCGUAGUCGAUGGGAAACAGGUUAAUAUUCCUGUACUUGGUGUUACUGCGAAGGGGGGACGGAGAAGGCUAUGUUGGCCGGGCGACGGUUGUCCCGGUUUAAGCGUGUAGGCUGGUUUUCCAGGCAAAUCCGGAAAAUCAAGGCUGAGGCGUGAUGACGAGGCACUACGGUGCUGAAGCAACAAAUGCCCUGCUUCCAGGAAAAGCCUCUAAGCAUCAGGUAACAUCAAAUCGUACCCCAAACCGACACAGGUGGUCAGGUAGAGAAUACCAAGGCGCUUGAGAGAACUCGGGUGAAGGAACUAGGCAAAAUGGUGCCGUAACUUCGGGAGAAGGCACGCUGAUAUGUAGGUGAAGUCCCUCGCGGAUGGAGCUGAAAUCAGUCGAAGAUACCAGCUGGCUGCAACUGUUUAUUAAAAACACAGCACUGUGCAAACACGAAAGUGGACGUAUACGGUGUGACGCCUGCCCGGUGCCGGAAGGUUAAUUGAUGGGGUUAGCCGCAAGGCGAAGCUCUUGAUCGAAGCCCCGGUAAAC
rnacentral:rRNA from 1 species